rnacentral:lncRNA from 1 species
AAAGGGAACUAGCUGUCCUGUCAGCAAAGGAAUUUGACCAUUUCCUCUGAUAGCAGAUGGAUUGUUGAAAUGCCUCUGUGUACCAGCCUCCAUUGUCUGUUUAGGAGUCAAACUUUCAGACCAGUUACUGACUCUGCUUGGUGUCAUCAAGGCCAUUCCUGAAAAACCCUGGGUGUACUUCCACACCAAGCACAACGGAAGACCUUUCCCAGAAGAUGCACUGGACCCAGUCACCACAUUUCAGGACAGAGGGUCUCAUAGUGCAGAGGAGUUGGCACUGUAUGUUGUCUCCUGAGUAUGCUUGUCAAAUACCAGCACUGCUGCUGAACAGAAAGUUCUGGCUACUCCUGGUAAUAUCCCCUAAAGGCAAACAACAGUGGCUUAAGGUAACACUGAUAAGAAAAGUGAAAUAAGUUUCUUAAGCAGUUAGUAGCACACUCAGAAACAUUUAACUUUUUUUUUUUCUUUGCUACUGCUACUGGUUUCUUAAAAUGUGCAUGUCUGAGUGUGCAUUGUUUCAUAAUGAGAAUUUUUCUGCCUAUAUUUCUAUGCCUACCUAAAUUUAACAACCUACACUGUCAUUCCUCUGAAAUUAUAAAGAUGAACUGAUUUUGAUCUCACUGCAGAGAUUCCUCACAAAUGGCUUUUCAGCACUCUGUGCAUAAAAAGAGCUUGAUUUUGAUCAGCCUGGUGGAGUUAUUUGUACUUAUUUAAACAGAAAUGUGCUACUGAAUCAGAAUAUCAGAAUAAUGUAGAAAGCUAAAAAAUGUACAAGGCUGUGGAAGAUCAAACAUAACUUUUGAUAUUUCAUUGACCUUUGUAAUCAACAAAGAUACAGUUUUUAUUCUAUCAUGUCUAUAGAAGUAUCAGAGUUUUUCCUCCCGAGUAUUGACUAAAAUAUACUUACCCAGUAAAACAAAAUUUAGCAACUGCAUAUCAUCUGAUUGACUUUUACCACUUGAAUUCUGACUCCUAAGACUAAAAUAGUGUUCUAGAAAGUAGUCAAAGUAGUGAAAUACUGUAUCUUUUGAAUCAUUCUGAUUUACCAUAACGAGAAAGGGAGACUUUUCCAAAGUCCUUUAUAUAAUUUUGCUUUAAAUUACAUACUCCUCCAAUAUACUUGAAGCAAACAACAUGAGGAAAUAAUAUAUGACUCCUUUAAUGUAAAAAAUCAUUAAUCAUGUAAAUAAAAGUGUUUAAAUGUAUUUUAUAAAUGGUAUU